GUUAGUGAGUUAUAGAUAAUGUGUAGUCAGCCAUGGGGGAGUGAUUGCUUCCUACAAGAGCACAAAACGUGCACAUCUUUGAAAAGCGAGUUGGGUAAAGAGCUUUUUUUUGUCUUAAGGGAUCAAUAUGAUGUCACUUUUUUAUUCAGUGUUGGAUGCUGCUGUACCAGCGAACAGCUUUGGAACACUGAGCCAUUGACUGCACCAGGUGGCUGUGUAACGAGUGGGUUGCUUUUUGACAAUAAUGCACCGGACUGUCUACAGCCAUUACGUUUUUAACCUAGAAGCAUACCGAGAGACCGGAGAAGGCAAGAAGGAGUCAAUCAGGAUUGACAAGAGGAAUGUUGAGUUGUCCUGAAAAGCAUGGUUUGUCAUCUGAUUUCUUGAAGCCUGGUGGAGAUAGAUGCCACCAUUCUACAAGGCAGGACAUUUAUCUGCAUCCGUGUCAAGACAGAAUGGUCCAAGGACCUCCAGAACCUUCUGACCAACUACAGUACCUGCGAUCUCUCCAGAUCUCUUUUUCAUAGCAG